AAAUAGUGACAACAGGGAUGAUAGUCACAGAACGUGAUAUAUGGAUUUGUGAGAUCGUUACGCCGAUGAAGUGAUAGUUUCCGUUUACAGCAAUACUACUAUAGAAGUACUAUGUUAUAACGAAACCAUUUCGAACUGCUACGAUACUUCUCGCUGUACUUCAUGCGAUAAAACAGCCCUGCUGGAUAUCCUCCCCGUGCUGUUACUGUACCGAUUGUCGUCGCUUUGUCUUGGGAUUGAUCGAUCUUCGUAAACUUCCUCCCCAUGCCGCACCUAUAGUUCGAAUUUAAUCGAGGGAGUAUCAGCGAGAUGUGUCUUUUCCCUGGAGGAGCAUCGACGACGACGCGUCCGAAGAGAUAUCAGGACGAAAUGCCCUGAGUCCACAUUUAUACCAACGAUGGAGUGCAGGGCAGCACAUUUUCCACGAAAGGGCAGAUAUCGAUGUUCCGAUAAUGAAGAUCGAACGUUUUCAUCGAAAGAGAGUGUAAGGCGAAGAUGAGAGUGAAAGUUUGCAUUGAA